GCAGAGCCCUGAAUUUGGGGGGAAUCCCUGGGGAUCAGUGCAGUGCAGGGGUUUGACAGGAGUCUUUGCCGUGCUCCUUCCCCACAGACUGUGCGGGAGGAGGAGCGGGAGAUUUACCGGCAGCUGCUGCAGAUGGUGACCGGGAAGAGAUUCUCCAGCUGCAAACCCUCCCCGCUGCUCCCCUUCCACCUCUCCCGCUGUCCCCGUUCCGGCCCCUCCCUGCUCCAGGAGGCUCCCAGGGACGAUCCCGAGGCGCUGGAAAUUCCCAAAAUCCCGGGUCCUGUUCCACAUCCCCCGGAGCCGCCCCAGAGCUCCCCCCUGGGCCCCUCUCCGGGGUUCCCUGGGGGGUUCCAGCCCCGAAAUUCCGCGGCCCCGCAGCAGAGGGAGGAGGAGCCGGCGGCCGGGGCGCAGAGUGAAGGGUCAGAUUCCGUCAUUUUGCUGAAGGUCAAGGAUUCCAGGACUCCGGCUCCAAGCCUUCCCUUUUUCCAGGCCGAGCUAUGGAUCAAGGAGCUGUGAGUUAAUAUUACCCUGCUGCCUUUUCCUGGGAUUUUUGGGGUGGAAAAACCAGAAUCCU
rnacentral:lncRNA from 12 species